CCUACGGGAGGCUGCAGUGAGGAAUAUUGGUCAAUGGACGCAAGUCUGAACCAGCCAUGCCGCGUGCAGGAAGACGGCUCUAUGAGUUGUAAACUGCUUUUGUACGAGGGUAAACGCAGGUACGCGUAUCUGUCUGUACGUAUCGUACGAGUAAGGAUCGGCUAACUCCGUGCCAGCAGCCGCGGUAAUACGGAGGAUUCAAGCGUUAUCCGGAUUUAUUGGGUUUAAGGGGUGCGUAGGCGGUCGGAUAAGUUAGAGGUGAAAUCCCGAGGCUCAACUUCGGAAUUGCCUCUGAUACUGUUGGGCUAGAGAGUAGAUGCGGUAGGCGGAAUGUAUGGUGUAGCGGUGAAAUGCUUAGAGAUCAUACAGAACACCGAUUGCGAAGGCAGCUUACCAAGCUACUUCUGACGUUGAGGCACGAAAGCGUGGGGAGCAAACAGGAUUAGAUACCCCAGUAGUC
rnacentral:rRNA from 1 species